AGCUUGCUGGGUGGAUUAGUGGCGAACGGGUGAGUAACACGUGAGUAACCUGCCCUUAACUCUGGGAUAAGCCUGGGAAACUGGGUCUAAUACCGGAUAGGAGCGCCUACCGCAUGGUGGGUGUUGGAAAGAUUUAUCGGUUUUGGAUGGACUCGCGGCCUAUCAGCUUGUUGGUGAGGUAAUGGCUCACCAAGGCGACGACGGGUAGCCGGCCUGAGAGGGUGACCGGCCACACUGGGACUGAGACACGGCCCAGACUCCUACGGGAGGCAGCAGUGGGGAAUAUUGCACAAUGGGCGCAAGCCUGAUGCAGCGACGCCGCGUGAGGGAUGACGGCCUUCGGGUUGUAAACCUCUUUCAGUAGGGAAGAAGCGAAAGUGACGGUACCUGCAGAAGAAGCACCGGCUAACUACGUGCCAGCAGCCGCGGUAAUACGUAGGGUGCGAGCGUUAUCCGGAAUUAUUGGGCGUAAAGAGCUCGUAGGCGGUUUGUCGCGUCUGUCGUGAAAGUCCGGGGCUUAACCCCGGAUCUGCGGUGGGUACGGGCAGACUAGAGUGCAGUAGGGGAGACUGGAAUUCCUGGUGUAGCGGUGGAAUGCGCAGAUAUCAGGAGGAACACCGAUGGCGAAGGCAGGUCUCUGGGCUGUAACUGACGCUGAGGAGCGAAAGCAUGGGGAGCGAACAGGAUUAGAUACCCUGGUAGUCCAUGCCGUAAACGUUGGGCACUAGGUGUGGGGACCAUUCCACGGUUUCCGCGCCGCAGCUAACGCAUUAAGUGCCCCGCCUGGGGAGUACGGCCGCAAGGCUAAAACUCAAAGGAAUUGACGGGGGCCCGCACAAGCGGCGGAGCAUGCGGAUUAAUUCGAUGCAACGCGAAGAACCUUACCAAGGCUUGACAUGUUCUCGAUCGCCGUAGAGAUACGGUUUCCCCUUUGGGCGGGUUCACAGGUGGUGCAUGGUUGUCGUCAGCUCGUGUCGUGAGAUGUUGGGUUAAGUCCCGCAACGAGCGCAACCCUCGUUCCAUGUUGCCAGCACGUAAUGGUGGGGACUCAUGGGAGACUGCCGGGGUCAACUCGGAGGAAGGUGAGGACGACGUCAAAUCAUCAUGCCCCUUAUGUCUUGGGCUUCACGCAUGCUACAAUGGCCGGUACAAUGGGUUGCGAUACUGUGAGGUGGAGCUAAUCCCAAAAAGCCGGUCUCAGUUCGGAUUGGGGUCUGCAACUCGACCCCAUGAAGUCGGAGUCGCUAGUAAU
rnacentral:rRNA from 1 species